GAUGAGCGCUGGCGGCGUGCUUAACACAUGCAAGUCGAACGGAAAGGCCCAAGCUUGCUUGGGUACUCGAGUGGCGAACGGGUGAGUAACACGUGGGUGAUCUGCCCUGCACUUCGGGAUAAGCCUGGGAAACUGGGUCUAAUACCGGAUAGGACCACAUUUUGGAUGGUGUGGUGGAAAGUUUUUCGGUGUGGGAUGAGCUCGCGGCCUAUCAGCUUGUUGGUGGGGUAAUGGCCUACCAAGGCGUCGACGGGUAGCCGGCCUGAGAGGGUGUACGGCCACAUUGGGACUGAGAUACGGCCCAGGCGCCUACGGGAGGCAGCAGUGGGGAAUAUUGCACAAUGGGCGCAAGCCUGGUGCAGCGACGCCGCGUGGGGGAUGACGGCCUUCGGGUUGUAAACUCCUUUCGCUAGGGACGAAGCGUUAUGUGACGGUACCUGGAGAAGAAGCACCGGCUAACUACGUG
rnacentral:rRNA from 1 species